GAUGUAGAAGAGAUCAUCCAACAACUUGGAUGUGUGGGAAGGUGGGAUGCCCAACCCUUGGGCAUUGAAGAGAGAGGAGAAAGAGAAGAUGGCAUGGAGAUGGGGAGGGAUUUAGAUCUGAAUUCUUAAUUCUUUUACAAAUCCUUGGAGAUAAUCUCUUAAAUAGAGCCUUUUCUUGAUUUCAAAUCAAUCUCCAAUCAGAAUAAAAAGGUUAGUCCUUAUAUCAUA
rnacentral:lncRNA from 1 species